rnacentral:rRNA from 2 species
UACGUAGGUGGCAAGCGUUGUCCGGAUUCACUGGGCGUAAAGCGCGCGCAGGCGGUCUUCUACGUCUGGGGUGAAAACCCGGGGCUCAACCCCGGGACUGCCUUGGAUACGGGGAGACUUGAGGAUCGGAGAGGCAAGGGGAAUUCCACGUGUAGCGGUGAAAUGCGUAGAGAUGUGGAGGAACACCUGUGGCGAAGGCGCCUUGCUGGCCGAUUUCUGACGCUGAGGCGCGAAAGCGUGGGGAGCAAACAGG